UCUGGAAUAUAAAAAAAAGUCUAUGAUAACUACUGUACUAUACACAAUAUAAACAGCAUGGUCCCCAUGCUGCACAGCAGAAAAAAAAAAAAAAACGAAUUGAAUUAGAAUAAUUAUUGAAAAACAAACAAACAAACAAAAAAACCCACGGUCAUGAACCUUACCUGAAGUCCUCUAUUCCCCGAAAAAGGUAUUUUUUCUUCAUUUUUCCCCAGGGCAGGAAGAGUCUCCAUAACAGUUCUCACGAUGUGAUGUGGAGGACCCCAAGACAGCAGCCCAAGGAGGACAGGCACUCUCGCAAGACAGCCAAAUCCGGGUCUUCAGCUCCUCCGUGGUGCUGCAGGGGCUCCUAGGAGUCCGCCAUCUUGUGGACCAUUAACGGCCAGGCAGCUGCUCUCUCCCAGAGUUGAAGGUGUCCCUGGGAGCUGAGCGAUGUUGGGCAGGAGAAUCCGGUAUGGGAAGCUCAAAGAAGAUGGUCUCUAUACAAUUUUCAGUUGACCAUGGUGGCUUGCAGGCAACUGAACAUCUUACAUGAGAGCUAAAGAAUCUCAGAAUGAAUGCUCCAAGGGAGAGAGCCUGGCAGAAUUUGUAUAGACUUUUCUGACCUGGCCUUACAGUUGGACAAGGCCCUCGUGGUCACCAACCUGCUCUGACACUCACCUGCCCUCCUUCCUCUGAUUCAGCAACCUGACGACUGAUCUACUGAUACAGAAGGGACACAGCUUUGACAGCAAGGGGUCAGAAAUGUGAGUAUAAUGCAGUUGGAGGCCCUGUGGUCUCUGACCUGCUCUGACAGUCGCCCAUCUUCUCCACCUCUCCUGCCCCAUCCCUGGGUGCAUUUCCACCAGAGGCACAGCUCCAGCAGUGAGAGGUCACAAAGCACCAGACACGGUGAGCCUCGAGACCCCACUGCCCCUGGAAGGAGCAGAAAUAGUGGCCACGUUUGAGCAGAUGCACUGGAGGGUCUAUGAGGGGAUCCCCCCACAUGUAAGAGGAGAGACAUGGUCUCUGCUGUUGGAGAAGGUGAAGGCAGACAAUCAAGGGAAAUACCAGAUGGUCCCAGUGGGUCUGGAAUUGGCUGAGUUCAUUCAGAUACUGCUGGUUCAGCCUCUCUGAGGAAGGUGCAGUGCGAAAUUCUCUAAGGUCUGAGGUCCCGUGGUGGAGCAGCAGCAAUGUGUCCAAUCCAUAGGUGGGUUCAAUCCCUGGCCUCGCUCUGUGGGGUGAGGUUCAGGUGUUGCUGUGAUGUAGGUCUCUCUGAAGUGGCUCAGAUCCAAUACUGCUGUUGCUGCUACAUGGAUCAUCCACUGAAGCUCCGACUGACCCCUACAUAGACUGGGAACGCCCAUAUGCCACAGGUGCGGCCCUAGAAAGAUACAUACAUAAACAAAAGAAACUGGGUGAGGUUGAUGUCCUCAAAAAUUGUUUAUUCACACACUAGAUGUAUAGACUGUAAAGCCUUGAAUGGGGAGACAGAAAGAGCUGUUGCUUCUUAAUAUUCUAAGGGUGGGGCAAUAACAGAUGAGACCAGGGCUUACAUGUAGGCUUAGAGGAAAGGCCAUGUGAGGACAGAGCCUUAAGGCAGCCAUCCAGAGUCAGGGAAGAGAGGACACCCUCGAAGCCAUCCCUGUUGUUGUCACCUUGAUCUUGGAGGUCCAGCCUCCAGAACUGUGAGAGAAGAAAUGACUGUUGCUUACGUUCCCCAGGCCAUAGUAUUUUGUCAUGGAAACCCUAGCCAAGAAUCUGAAAGUGCCACUGACAAGGAUGAUGGGGAUGAGCACAUAGAAACUGAGGUGGUGCAAAGAGAAGGAGGAAUGAAGCAUCAUCAGGUUUGAUUCAGAACAAUCAUGCCUCUUCCUUACAAUCAUCCGAGGAGGAGCAUUUCCAUAUCCCGGGAUUUUGGAAUAAGUAACAUCAUUUUUGAAUACGAAAUCUGGAGUCUCAUCCAAAGUAAGUGGUGUCCAUCUUCCACCUAACCUUCCUCUGAGGAAUCUGAGAGCAUUUACCAGAGGAAUUCUGCUCUGCACAAAUGGACAUACUCAACCUCAUUGAGGAGAUCCAAGCUAACCCUCACUCACGGGUGGCAGAACAGUGGCAUCCUCCAUGGGUUGAUGACCUGAAACAGAAAGAAUGGUAGAUCGUUUUGGCACAAACAUGAUGAGUGUAUUGGGGAUCAGCAGGAAUUUCAACUGGAGGCCUGAAACCAUGACCAACCAUAAGCCAUCUCCAUCAAGGCAAGAAAAGGAGACUGCUUGCACAGAGGAUAAGAGACAGUUUGGAGAGGUCAGUCAAUCAAUACAGAGCCCAUGGCUCAUGGCUCUUCAUUGGUGGAACAACUUGCAAGGAAAGAAGGCUGUCUUAUUCUUGUUGGGCUCUGCCAUGCACAGGGCAGAGAAGUGCUUCCUGCGGGUCUCCCAAUUCCAUUCAGUAGAGUUUAGGUUAAUUACUUCUCAUGAGGGGAGAGAUAUGGAUUCAGCCCUCUCAGAAGGGACCUGGUCCUCCUAUCUAGCAGACCAUGUGUUUUCUUCAGGGGGCAUCAGUUUCCAUCUUGGGUCCCAAAGGCGGGAGUGAACUUACUGUUGGAAAGCACGGUGGAGAAGCAUUUGGAACAAGCAACACUGUAUGAAGUGCAACUCCAACCUACCACAAGAUACCACCUCGCACCAGUCAGAAUGGCCAUUAUUCAGAAGUCCACAAAUAGCAAGUGUUGGAGAGGGUGUGGCGAAGAGAGAACCCUUCUGCAGUGCUGCUGGGAAUGUAAGCUGGCACAGCAACUACAGCCAACAGUACAGAGGUACCUUAGAAAUCUACACAUAGAACGAUCAUAUGACCCAUCAGUCCCACUCUUGGGCAUAUAGCC